rnacentral:rRNA from 1 species
CCUACAUGAAGCUGGAAUUGCUGUAAUGGCAGGUCAGCAUACUGCCGUGAAUACGUUCCCGGGCCUUGUACACACCGCCCGUCACACCAUGAGAGUUGGGGAUACCCGAAGCCUGUGAGCCAACUGUAAAGAGGCAGCAGUCGAAGGUAGAAUCAAUGAUUGGGGUGAAGUCGUAACAAGGUAUC